ACUAUGGUUGCGAGUGGUUCAUCUCGCUAACUAUUGCAAGCAUUGGGAAAACUUUUGGAUGCUGAAUUGUUACUGUUGAUGACUUUUGUAUGAGGCGAUUGAAACGGAGUACAACUCUUUUCAGAACGUAAAGUACCAGCGUCGUGCUUCCCCAGCAAAGAGAACAUAUGCUUGAUCGAUGAACCUAUCGUUGGGAAUACGCUCCGCUACGAUUAGUUCAUUCACCUGGAAGACGAAAUCUGUCACGUCCAUGCUUUGAGGAUCUCCGUUGAACUGGAUACCCCAUUUGUCCAGUCGAUAAUGGUAGAACCGGUCAUGUUGUCUUCUAAAUUCCUGCGAUCCUUCUGCUUGACUGCUUGAAUCGGAACCAGAGCUACAGUCCGUGACAACAGACUGCUCAACGAAUCUAAUGACGAACUGUCAUCCUCUGUAGAGGACUCGGAAUUUUCAGCUUCACUUUGGAAAAUCAAUUAAUGAGAAUGGAACACCUCCGCGCUGAUUACUCUAAGUGGAGUUAUUAGUAUGAUUAAUCUAAGAUUGAAAGAAAACCUGAAUUCAAUUGGUUGAAACAAAGGAACGAAAAUCUUAUCCCCUACGGUAAUUAUUUAUUUAUAUUUUUUCACCCGAUAAAUUUAUCCCUUUAAACUAAACAAAACUAAAUAUU